rnacentral:rRNA from 1 species
UACGUAGGGUGCAAGCGUUAAUCGGAAUUACUGGGCGUAAAGCGUGCGCAGGCGGUUUUGUAAGUCUGUCGUGAAAGCCCCGGGCUCAACCUGGGGGAUUGCGAUGGAGACUGCAAGGCUUGAAUCUGGCAGAGGGGGGUAGAAUUCCACGUGUAGCAGUGAAAUGCGUAGAGAUGUGGAGGAACACCGAUGGCGAAGGCAGCCCCCUGGGUCAAGAUUGACGCUCAUGCACGAAAGCGUGGGGAGCAAACAGG